rnacentral:lncRNA from 1 species
UGGGAAGGAGCCUGGGGCGCUCCGGGGGAUGCUGGGCUUAAACUCCCAAAAUUUCAGAGCCUUGGCCAUGCUGACUGGGGCUGCCGGGAGCCCAGCCACGUCUGGGAUGGGGGGCACAAGUCUCCCAUUCCUUAGGGUACAGCAUGUUUACUCGGAUGUAAGCUCAAGUGAACAUAUGGCCACGACCUACACACACUUGCUUCGGAGUGAGAGCCCGUGAGGUGUCGUAGUUAAGAGUGUGGGAUUAGGAUCUGGUAGAUCCGGGUUCAAAUCCAUUAAGUCACUGCCUCUCUGCUGUGACCUACCUUAAAUGAGGGCGGAGUGGACAAUGUAUAGCUCCUUGGAGGAAAAGGUGGACUAUAGAUGCAGGAAAUGAGGUAUAUCCCACCUAAUUAAAGGGGGUUUAAUGUUGAAAAUAUAUGCCUAUGAACUGGUUGCAUGGCCUACCUUGAUUAUCAAGCAUCCCUACAGCCACGUAAGAUCUUCCUUACUUUGCAUGUCUCACUUGCCAAUGAACCAAAGUGCCAUGUGUCCUAAACUGUAUUCUUCUGUAUUCGGUCCUAAACUGUAUUCCGAACACACUGACCAGAUGCUUGGAAGCUGUGGCUGGAUGGUUUCGUGGGAGCCGAUUGAAACUAAAUCCUUCGAAGACAGAGGUCCUAUGGCUAGGUCGGGAUGGCAUGGGGAUGAGGGACCAACUCCCUUCUCUUGCGGGGCCCAAUUAGUGCCAUUGCCUUCCGUUAAGAGUUUGGGUGUAAUCCUUGACGCCUCCCUUUCCAUGGAGGCGCAAGUUACAGCAACAGCCAAGGCGGCAUUUUUCCACCUUCGCCGCAUCAAGAAGUUGGUCCCUUACCUUUCCCGCCCCAACCUGGCCACAAUGAUCCAUGCGACGGUCAUCUCCAGGCUUGACUACUGUAAUUCGCUCUACGCGGGGCUGCCCUUGAAGCUGUCCCAGAAACUCCAGCGGGUACAGAAUGCUGCAGCAAGGCUCCUCACGGGGUCUCUGCCAUGGGAGCAUAUUCACCCAGUGCUUUUCAAGCUGCACUAGCUCCCAGUGGAGUACAGGGUCAGAUUUAAGGUACUGCUUUUGACCUUUAAAGCCCUUCACGGCCUAGGACCCUUGUACCUACAGGGCCGCCUCUCCCGGUAUGCCCCACGGAGAGCCUCAAGGUCCAUAAAUAACAACACGCUAGUGGUCCCAGGCCCUAAGGAAGUUAGAUUGGCUUCAACCAGAGCCAGGGCCUUUUCAACUCUGGCUCCGGCCUGGUGGAACGCUCUGCCUCAUGAGACCAGGGCCCUGCAGGAUCUGAUUUCCUUCCGCAGGGCCUGCAAAACAGAGUUGUUCCGCCUGGCUUUUGGCUUGGAGCCAAUUUGAUUCCCUCCCUCCCUCUCUUUCUUUUUUCUUUUCCUUCUCCUCCUGCGAUGAGGCUACAUUUUAAUAUUUUAAUGUUCCAUUAUUUUAAUGUUGCAUUUUAUUUUUGUUUUAAAGUUGUAAUCAUUCAUCUUGUUUUUAUUAUUGUAAGCCGCUCUGAGCCCGGCCUUGGCUGGGGAGGGCGGGGUAUAAAUAAAAAUAUAUUAUUAUUAUUAUUAUUAUUAUUAUUAUUAUUAUUACAAAGGCACAAUGCAAUCACUGUUCCAGAGGUUUACUGUACACGUAUACAAAAAAAAGUAGGCAUGCCUAUGUCCCAUUUCAACUCGCAUUAGUUUCAGAGCGAGCUUGUGCAUGCACUUGUAAAGAAUCCUCUCCCUUUCCUUUCAACUGGGCAUAUCCCCAGUAUAUAUGCAUAAGAUUUCUGCCUUAGUGAUAAUUUGUGUAAAUGCAAGUGAAGUUAAAAAAAGUAACUUUGUACAGCCUAUUGCUCUAUAGCAGGGAUAGGGAACCUGUAGCCCUCCAGAUGUUGCAAGACUUGAACUCCCAUCAGUUUCAGACAGCACCAGUGGUGUCCAAACUUUUUUCAAAGAGGGCCAGAUUUGAUGAAGUGAAGGGCCAUGGGGGCCAACCAGAGGGCCAACCAAAGUUGUUGAAGGAUUGAAGUUGUUGAGCUUUUUAUUAUUUUACCCCCAAGUUGUUGAGCUGCUUUUAGGAUUAGAGUUGUUGAGGGUUUUUUAGGAUUUUAUUCCAGGAAAUAAACUGCCACAGAGGCCAGAUUAAGCCAACCGGCAGGCCGAAUUAGGCCCCCAAAACGGACUUUGUACAUGCCUGGCAUAGGCAAUCGCCAAGGAUGAUGGGAGUUGCAGCACAAAAUCUGGAGGGCUGCAGUUUCCCCGUCCUCGCCUACAGUAUGUCUCUCUCUCUCAUAUUUCCAGCAAUAAUCAGUAGUUGGUCCUUAUUGUGCUGAGUAAAGGUUUGUCCACACUUCUGCUUGCCCCAUGAUUAGAAAGCCUGAGUCCAAAAGGUUUUCGACUUGUCCCAUGCUUCCUAGGCACAGGUCCAAGCAGUUUUUUUGUUUGUCCCUCCACUUUCCCUGGGAGACUCCACCAUUUACCACUGAAUCAGAACAAAGAUCAAUCUGCAGAAAAACUGAUUGACAUUUGUUCCGAUUCAGCAGUAAACAGUGGGGGGAAAGAGGCAAGGGAAGCAGAAGUGUGGACGAGCCCUUACUCUCUCUAAAGCCAGUUGUCACCACGGUAAUCUGCCACUGAAUUAUGUCAUAACUCAGUGAACUCACCCAUACCAUUCUCAGCAACUGCACCCUCAACUCUUUUCUGUUAAUCCUUUUCCAUCUUCAGAACAUGCCUUGAGCUCCCUCUAUGUAAGUGAAAGGGAUGCACUGCACAAGCAAACUGAGGUAAAGUUUAAAUUUUGCUGCUGCUAGAUUCUCUUAUUAUUAUUUUUUGGGGUGAUCUGACAUUGGACAGGAGAAACAUUUCAAGUUAGCUGGUUAUCAGUUUUGUGAUAAAGACAAGACAUAAAGUUGUUGCUCUGUCCAAACAAGGGAGUGUUUCUGACCUUGAAAACUGGG